rnacentral:rRNA from 1 species
GACGAACGCUGGCGGCGUGCCUAAUACAUGCAAGUAGAACGCUGAAGAGAGGAGCUUGCUCUUCUUGGAUGAGUUGCGAACGGGUGAGUAACGCGUAGGUAACCUGCCUUGUAGCGGGGGAUAACUAUUGGAAACGAUAGCUAAUACCGCAUAACAAUGGAUGACACAUGUCAUUUAUUUGAAAGGGGCAAUUGCUCCACUACAAGAUGGACCUGCGUUGUAUUAGCUAGUAGGUGAGGUAAUGGCUCACCUAGGCGACGAUACAUAGCCGACCUGGGAGGGUGAACGGCCACACUGGGACUGAGACACGGCCCAGACUCCUACGGGAGGCAGCAGUAGGGAAUCUUCGGCAAUGGGGGCAACCCUGACCGAGCAACGCCGCGUGAGUGAAGAAGGUUUUCGGAUCGUAAAGCUCUGUUGUAAGUCAAGAACGGGUGUGAGAGUGGAAAGUUCACACUGUGACGGUAGCUUACCAGAAAGGGACGGCUAACUACGUG